GCCCACAUAGCUCAGCUGGUAGAGCAUUUCCAUGGUAAGGAAAAGGUCACCGGUUCAAACCCGGUUGUGGGCU
rnacentral:tRNA from 1 species